rnacentral:ribozyme from 2 species
GCCGUAAUGCGGCUUAUUGAGUUUUCGAUAAACGGUCACAAGCCCGUGUAAACGCAGAGUGUGGU